rnacentral:rRNA from 1 species
GGGAAAAAAAUUGAUGUUACCUUACUAUAAGUGUUGUCCAAAACUGGUGCCAGAAGACUCGGUAAGGCCAGAAACGCAAACGUUAGUCACAUUAACCAGGCGUAAAGGGUUUGUAGGCAGUUUUAAUAGCUAUUAUUCUAAAGGAGGUUAAGCCAAAUAAUGCUUAGAGUAGGGAUUAAAUCCGAAAAUACUAGGUGGAAUACUAAUGGUGAAAGCUUUUUAUCUAAUAUUGAUCGACGCUGAGAAACGAAGGUGAGAAUAGGAAAUAGGAUUUGAGACCCAGAUACCUCUCACUGUCAACGAUGAAUGGUGGAUUGUUAGCUAGUACCGAUGUUAACGCGAUAACCAUUCCGCCUUGAGAGUACGGUUGCAAAACUGAAACCAAAAAAAUUAGUCGG